ensembl:lncRNA novel transcript
GGGAGAGGACUGCAAAUAGAAGAGAACUGUAGGAUUCUGCAAUGGAAGAAGAUACCAAAGCCCAGCUGCAGCAGAACUAACACAUCUACUCCCAACAUUGAGCCCUCCACUUGCCUGGGCGACCACCACCGAGGAUGGGAAAGGAUGACAUUGGAAGGGAAUUUGCAGCCCUCCUGAUCUCCAGAUGAAGAGCUUAUGGAUAUGAAAAGGCUUUCCCAAAGAAGCCAUGGAGUAGAAUCCAGGUCUCCCAGUUCGUGAUCAGUCUUCCAUCUCCCUGGUGGGCCAGAGAUAUUUCAAGUUGGCAGAGUCAAGCAUGAGCAAGGAGAUGGUGUGGGGCAGAGUGUGAACCAUAUAUUCCUAGACCCCAGUGAUGAAGGCUAAAUGAGACAAUAUACGUCAUGCAUCUUGCACUUCCUGCCACACAGAGCUUCCAUGGAUACUGAAAGAUCAGCUGACACGUGCCUUCAAGGCUAAAAUGAAUGUGGAUAUCAAUAGUGAUGAGAAGAAAUGGUCUAAAAUAAAGAAACAGCAUGUGCAAAAGUGAAGAUUAUGAUGCUAUGUCAGUUACCUUCAGGACCCAAUUGUAGCCACUUCAGCUGGCCCAGGCUUUCCCGAAAUGUGAAGACAGCAAACUCCCACUCUUCCUCCUGCAGACUGGUGGCAAAAACACAAAGUCCACUUGAGACCAUGAAGUCCAAGGAUCUUUUCUUAUUCCUGGAAUAUACUAGGAAAAAUACAGGCACCGUGCAGCGGGUGCUGUGUUCUAGCUGCUCUGUUAACUGCCAGUUACCUCAUUUGAUCCUGAUGACAACCCUUGGGUAAACAAAGGAUCCAGGCCACUGUAACAUCAAAGUACAUCAAGUCAAACUGAACAAGGAAGAAAGGAAAGGAAUCGUUGAACCAAAGGAGAAGGACUGGUAUAUAAAUGGAAUCAAGGAGGCAGUGGUGGCUGCAAUCAACGCCUGAAGAUAAAAGCCACAGCACUCAAAUAACAAUCCUCGUUAGAGUGACAAACAGACUGCAGCUCAGGGAAGUCUAACGUUUUAAUUCUCGGAAACAACCCCUUCCUGCUUUUACAUCAUGGAAAACCAUGCCAUACUUGAUUGCUCAAUAAACAUCCUGAAGACUGGAAAAAAUUAUGAAAAAGAAAAGAAUGUCUUCUCAGUGGAGAGAGAGAGGCGUCAUUUAUCUGUUGGAUAAUUCAAGAUUUCAAGAUGAAAGUCACACUGCCCUCCAGGAGCUUCCACUCUAGCAGAGGGUGGGAGAUAGACCAGCAGUUACAGUGCAGUGUGCUGAGGACUGAGACAACAAUCAUGGCUACAAGGAUCACAACCAGCUCUGCCACUUGCCCUGUCGGUUCAUCAUUUGCAACUGUACCCAGUGCUUCCAGCUUGGGCCUCUGCAUCUGCCAGCCUAGGGGGUUGGGAUCUUUUUAAUUCAUGGACAGUGUUAGGUCUGGUAAGAGUGGACCCUCCCUUCCAAGAAUUCUGCUUCAACACAAAGUUUAGAAAUAAGGCUGCCAAAAAAAACAGAUCUUUCCCUAACACAGAAAUCAGAAGUUUAACCUAAGAAAACAGUGAUAAGAACUCAUAAUUCUCUUAAUAAUGAAUAUACCACUAUUGAGGCAUGCAGUUUACUGAUUUAGAACAGGUGCCUGGAACAGACUAGAAGAACUUGAAAUGAGAAAGUCUUGAUUAAACCCUGAAAGUGUGCAUGGAUUUCUUACACACAAAGAAGGCAUCAGGGCACUGUUUCUAGGUCUGGGGAGAAUAAAAGUGGCCUAUUUUUCA